UAAGCUGUCAAGUCCUAGAUGGUCGAACUAAUAACUGUCAAGUCCUAGAUGGUCGAACUGGUAAGCUGUCAAGUCUAGAUGGUCGAACUAGUAAGCUGUCAAGUCUAGAUGGUCGAACUAGUAAGCUGUCAAGUCCUAGAUGGUCGAACUAAUAAGCUGUCAAGUCCUAGAUGGUCGAACUAGUAAGCUGUCAAGUCCUAGAUGGUCGAACUAGUAAGUCUGUCAAGUCCUACAUGGUCGAACUGGUAAGCUGUCAAGUCCUAC